rnacentral:lncRNA from 1 species
UCAGAGAUGAUGGCGGAGGCAAGAGGACCUGUUAUUUCGUGUAGAUGCAGCAAAACCGAAGACUGUCAGGGUAUUUGCGCCGUGUGCCCCAACUAUAGCUGCAUUAAUAACCUUUGUACUUGCCUUUCAAACGCACCUCCAUUUCCAUAGUCUUAGAAUCUACACACUCCAACAGUUGAAUGAAAUGGUGGGAUUUUUUUGUGUAAUUUGAAAUAAAUUAUCAUGCAAUGGAUCUAAUAAGAAAAAAUAUUGUAAUUGUUGUAAUUUUAAUUUUCUUUUUACCCUUCUCUGCGCCUCCCCUCCCCCUUUCUAGUAGCGAAAAGUAUGUUACAUUUCAAAUAUAUAAAAAGAGUUACAAUCUUGUUUUAAAACUAAAAGAAAUAACAGUAAGAACAAAAGAUAGGAGAAAAAUUAAGACACAAAAUGAGAUGAUAAUUCUUCUUUCUACUUGUAUCUCAUAAGCUUGUAUAUGGCUUCAAUCUAUAGGGCUUCAACAAUGAUAGGCUAAAAAUAAUAUAAAUAGGAAUUUCAAAACUCGCAAUAACUUGAAUGGGUAUUUCAUAAGUUUCAAAUUCCACCGUAUUCUUUUGGUGGGGACACUUUGUUAAUUUAUUAACAACACUAUGCACUAGAUGUGUAUCAAAUGGAAACGUGCUCUGUUAAAACUUUAUUAGAAAAAAUUGCAUAAGCACCUAUUAUAAGCUAAAACAUAAAAGACAUUUCAUGGGAAAACUUAGCUGGACAAUACCUUGGGUAAAGGAAAGAGUAAACAUGUUUUAGACUCUCCCUAAUUUUAAAAAUAUUGAAACAUGGUACAAAUUUUGAAACAAUUUUUAGUUGCUAAAUACUUCGUCAAGGAGAACCAUACUAUGAAGACAUGCCUUUUUAAUUACAAUGAUAACCAUUGAGUUUCAUUGUAUACUCUAGGUUCAUUUGCCAAUAACUCUUUUGCACAUCAUAAUAUAGGUGGGGGCGAAUAAAACUUUAAAUUAAGCGACAUUAAUACAUGCAUUAAAGCCUCCAUUAAUUUCUUAGAAGUUUAUUUUUAUGUCCACAAUCAACAUUUUUCUUAUGCGGACAUGAGACCUUGCUAUUGCAUAUGACUUAAGGAAAACUGUAUAUUAAAUUUAGCCUCCUGGCUUUGUAGAUUUCUACAGCCUAUCUCUCUUUCUUACUCCGUUGCAAGGAUGUUCAUGUAGACCACCUGAUAGAUAGUUGUAUGGUUUCUUUAUUUUUAUUGAAACACAUAUCGAGUCUUUCUUGACAUCACUGUGACUUUAAUAGUCAUUACCAAUAUGGUUUGACUCUUGCAGGUUUUGAGUACAUUGGCGUGUCAUUCGGCCCAAUUAAAGGCUAUUAUUGUUGUUUCAAUUUGAGAUCGCUCUCUUCUAGUUUUUCUUCUUCUUUUCUCAUUUUGGUUUCCUACCCUUUAUAUGCUUGUUGUAGUAUUUUUCCUUAAGUUAAUUUUGGAAAUACAUAGAAUCUAUUGAAUGGAGUGCCAUUAAUCUUAUCAACAUUAUAUCUCAUCAUCUUCUUGCUUGUUUUUAGGAUCUUCAUGGCCAUGGUUAGACAAGAGUUUAUCUAUCUUGUAACACUUAUUUUGGGACAUGCAAUGUGCACAUUUUCUAUAAGUCCUACACUUUUACCUGUUGUUUCAAUGAGGCCAUCUUUAGGUAUUUCCCCCUCUAUUUAUUUCAUUAGUCAAAUUGGAUGUACUUUUAUGAACUUAAAUCAAACAAUCACUUUUUGCGUUUUUGUAACCUCUCUUUUCAGGUCUGAUAACAUCGAUCAAGAAGUUGAGCUCCUCCAUGGAUAGCAUUGGUUGUUUGUUUCCAUUUAUUCACAAUCUCUUGCAACAAAUUUUGACAUUUUAACUGUAGUGAUAGUUUUAUUAGCCUUGUAGCGAGCCCAAGAUACCAACUGCUCCCACCCAUGAUUUUGAAUUUUAAAUACUUUAUUUAAAUGAUUUUGAUGUUUAGAAAUUUAAAAAAUAAACUAAUUUUCUUUUAGGUGAGAAUUAACCAAAAAUUGGUAUUGCCUAUCCAUGAACCUCUUACCUCAAGUUGGUCUGGACUGUGAGGUCGAAAGAUAGGUAGUUGUUGCCAACUCAUUAGUUUAGUGGAAGAUCGAGAGAUCCUACUAGGUUAGCGACUAAUUGAUUGAGUAGAACCAAAAAUAGGAUUUAGUUAUGACCACUGAAGCGAGCUAAUCACUCAUGCUUAGAUUUUAUUGAAUCAAAUAUUACUUCUCCAUCUUUUUUAUUUUAUGCAAGCUUAUUUCUUUUCUUAUAAAAACAACUAUUUUUCACUUUAUGAUCAUCGUACUAUAAUUUAUUUAAGUUACUAAUUAGAUCUAUUUGCGUUUAGGUUAAUAUUAAUUUAGUACUUGUCUCCCUUGGGUACGAUCCUCGAGUACUCACCUACUUCGUUGUAAAACUAUAUUACAACCUGACUCGUAUACUUGAGGACACUGCCUCAAUUCAAUAUAUACUUUUAGCAAUAUUCACACUCUAGAUUCUAGUACGUCCGAAGGCGGUCACUUUCCAAAGUGGCGCGUAGUUUAUCUGCAAAUCAGUGGUGGCUCGUCUACAAUCCGGAGUGAUAUGUUAGACGAGUUCUGGGGAAUUCAUACGUGAGGUGUGUAGCGGAGUUGGGUAGGACUUUUCUGUUAAUUUGAAACUUCAAUGCAUUCAUAAGCACGUGCAUAUAAAAUUGUGAAUACCAAUAUAGUGAAGUGAAGCGUUUUAUGUGAAAAACAGUUAAUCUGAGGUGCUUUGUGGUUGUCUUUAAUCUCAGGAUUGCUAAUUCAUGUGCCUUAUUGGUUUGUUGUUUUAUUUUGAUUUUCUUGUGACUGAACUCACAUUGAGCUUCAUAGCUCACCGCCCUUUAGUUCCCAUCCUUAUAGAUAACCCACCAGGUUGGGAUGCGACAUAUGAAGGGUCGAAAAAGUUUUAAUGUUAUGAAAGUAUUGUUAUGCUUAUUUUAAAAUUUAUGUUAUUUCGGAACUGUACUCUAUUAUUUAUUUUCUAGCAUUGGAUUCAUAUUUAGGUUUUGGUUUUAUAUUGCAAGCAUGACAUAUAAAUUGUUGUUUUUAAGAUGAUGAAAUAAGGAUUUCAAUUAAAUAUGCAUGAAAUAUAGAUGUUAGUAAAACUCAUGAAAAGCCAUUUUUCCGCUGAAAGGUCAUAAUUAAAUUUUGUCUAAUAACUACAAUAUAACUAUGUUUCCAAUAGUUAUCACAUUUUACAAGAAAAAUAUUAGUUUAAUUGUAUUUUAUAUACCCAUGAUUUGUUUUCUAAAAAUAGACACAGUCUUUGUAAGGAUAAAAAAAUAUUUUAAUGUGCUAUUUAAAAUCUUCGAUUGCACUAGGCCAUCACGGUGGCCGAUGUAAUCUCCCGAACUCGGGCCUACCGUCUAGGCCAAUUUGGGGAGGUUACAAUUUCAAUGCCAUAAAGUACUAAAACCAUAUUUUCAAUCAUCUUCAGCAUUGAUUAUUUCAUAUUGAUAUGAGUUGAAUUAAAAUAUUUAAUUUGAACUUAUAAAUUUAUCAUAUUUAAGGGGAAAAAAAGUGGUUUUACUUCAAACAAAAAGAAGAGAUAAAUUGUUACCAACUAAAUUGAUGAACAAGAAUUUGAUAUGAUAUAUACGUGAAUACAAUAAAAAUACAUUAAUUGCGCUACAAUUGUGUAUAAUAUCCUUUUUAUUUAGUUAUAUUGUGUUUGUACAAAAUUUGUAAAGAUAAAAUACUAUGCAUCAAAUAUGUUCAAUUCUAAUUCUAAUUCUAAUUCUAAUUCUAAUUCCAGUUCCAAUUUGAGUUUGAACUUGAUUUGGAACACAAAAAUUGAGCAUGAUGCCAAGUAUGAGAAUCCAACUCAAGUCUUAUCAAAUAAACAAGCCUAAAUAAAUCUAGUAAAGCUAAUUAAAGCAGUUUAAUCUUUAUCUCGUAUCAAGUUUAUAUUUUAAAAGUUAAACUCAAUGAAGUUAUAUUGGAGCAUUCAAUUCUCUAGGUUUCUUUGGAGAUUGAGAUUGAAUUUCUUGGCUCAGUUCAACCCCAUUAAAUAACUUUAAAUUUUUUAUUUUGAUACAAUAGUUAAUAUUGUUUCCAAACUCAUAUAACUGGUUGUGUAGGAAGGGGUCAGGUUUUUUUGUGUGCUUUCUCUCACUACUAUCUCCAAAAUUUUAAUGCUUUUAGUAUUUUAAUAUUUGAAAAUUAUUAAAAAAUUUGUCUAGCAAGAAAAAUAUAAUUUAAUCUUUUCUUCUCCUAGACCACAAAAAAAAAAUUGGAACAUAUUUCCCAUUUGUUUCUAAACGGUUGGACUAAUAAUCAACUUAUUGGCAUCAUGCAUUCCAGAUUUGGUAACAUUAAUUUCCAUGACUACACUUAGAACAAAAUAAUGAUAAUUAGUAAACAAAAUCCCCAUCAAUCUUCUCAAGGAUGUUUUGCUGAUAUACUUUCCUUUUAGACAUAGUUUCAUAAGGAAAAAAAUAAAAACGUAAUAAUCUCAAAGAAUCCAAAGAAAUUAGUAUUCCUCCAUGCAACACAAAAUAAGAUACUAUAUAUAUUAAAUCCAUAAGCUAUAAAUUUCCACCAACAUAGUUAAUUAGAUAUAAAGAGAUGGCAAAGUUUUCAUUCAAUUUGUUUAUAUUUGCUGUCAUCUUAAUCUUUGCAACUCGUUAGUUUCUUCCUAUGCAGCUCUUUUCUUUCCUUUGGUAUAAAUAUUAUGUUUUUGUUUAAUUUAACACAAGGGAAUUUUUGUUGCAGACUCAGAGAUGAUGGCGGAGGCAAGAGGACCUGUUAUUUCGUGUAGAUGCAGCAAAACCGAAGACUGUCAGGGUAUUUGCGCCGUGUGCCCCAACUAUAGCUGCAUUAAAAACAUUUGUACUUGCCUUUCAAACGCACCUCCAUUUCCAUAGUCUUAGAAUCUACACACUCCAACAGUUGAAUGAAAUGGUGGGAUUUUUUUGUGUAAUUUGAAAUAAAUUAUCAUGCAAUGGAUCUAAUAAGAAAAAAUAUUGUAAUUGUUGUAAUUUUAAUUUUCUUUUUACCCGUCUCUGCCCCUCCCCCCCUUUCCAGUAGCGAAAAGCAUGUUACAUUUAAAAUCUAUAAAAAGAGUUACAAUCUUGUUUUAAAACUAAAAGAAAUAACAGUAAGAACAAAAGAUAGGAGAAAAAUUAAGACACAAAAUGAUAUGAUAAUUCUUCUUUCUACUUGUAUCUCAUAAGCUUGUAUAUGGCUUCAAUCUAUAGGGCUUCAACAAUGAUAGGCUAAAAAUAAUAUAAAUAGGAAUAUCAAAACUCGCAAUAACUUGAAUGGGUAUUUCAUAAGUUGCAAAUUCCACCGUAUUCUUUUGGUGGGGACACUUUGUUAAUUUAUUAACAACACUCUGCACUAGAUGUGUAUCAAAUGGAAACGUGCUCUGUUAAAACUUUAUUAGAAAAAAUUGCAUAAGCACCUAUUAUAAGCUAAAACAUAAAAGACAUUUCAUGGGAAAACUUAGCUGGACAAUACCUUGGGUAAAGGAAAGAGUAAACAUGUUUUAGACUCCCCCUAAUUUUAAAAAUAUUGAAACAUGGUACAAAUUUUGAAACAAUUUUUUGUUGCUAAAUACUUCGUCAAAGAGAAUCAUACUAUGAAGACAUGCCUUUUUAAUUACAAUGAUAACCAUUGAGUUUCAUUGUAUACUCUAGGUUCAUUUGCCAAUAGCUCUUUUGCACAACAUAAUAUAGGUGGGGGCGAAUCAAACUUUAAAUUAAGCGACAUUAAUACAUGCAUUAAAGCCUCCAUUAAUUUCUUAUAAGUUUAUUUUUAUAUCCACAAUCAACAUUUUUCUUAUGCGGACAUGAUACCUUGCUAUUGCAUAUCACUUAAGGAAAACUGUAUAUUAAAUUUAGCCUCAUGGCUUUGGAGAUUUCUACAUCCUAUCUCUCUUUCUUACUCCGUUGCAAGGAUGUUCAUGUAGACCACCUGAUAGAUAGUUGUAUGGUUUCUUUAUUCUUAUUGAAACACAUAUCGAGUCUUUCUUGACAUCACUGUGACUUUAAUAGUCAUUACCAAUAUGGUUUGACUCUUGCAGGUUUCGAGUACAGUGGCGUGUCAUUCGGCCCAAUUAAAGGCUAUUAUUGUUGUUUCAAUUUGAGAUCGCUCUCUUCUAGUUUUUCUUCUUCUUUUCUCAUUUUGGUUUCCUACCCUUUAUAUGCUUGUUGUAGUAUUUUUCCUUAAGUUAAUUUUGGAAAUACAUAGAAUCUAUUGAAUGGAGUGCCAUUAAUCUUAUCAACAUUAUAUCUCAUCAUCUUCUUGCUUGUUUUUAGGAUCUUUAUGGCCAUGGUUAGACAAGAGUUUAUCUAUCUUGUAACACUUAUUUUGGGACAUGCAAUGUGCACAAUUUCUAUAAGUCCUGCUCUUUUACCUGUUGUGUCAAUGAGGCCAUCUUUAGGUAUUUCCCCCUCUAUUUUGUUUCAUUAGUUAAAAUCAACCAAUCACUUUUUGUGUUUUUGUAACCUCUCUUUUCAGGUCUGAUAACAUCGAUCAUGAAGUUGAGCUCCUCCGUGGAUAGCCUUGGUUGUUUGUUUCCAUUUUUUCACAAUCUCUUGCAACAAAUUUUGAGAUUUUAAUUGUAUUGAUAGUUUUAUUAGCCUUGUAGCGAGCCCAAGAUACCAACUGCUCCCACCCAUGAUUUUAAAUUUUAAAUACUUUAUUUAAAUGAUUCUGAUGUUUAGAAAUUUAAAAAAUAAACUAAUUUUCUUCUAAAUUUUAUUACUUAGCGAUCCGCUGCUUGGGAGCGGAAGAACUUAAACCCUAGGCCAUACAAGACUAAGAAGUCAUCUAGGUGAGAAUUAACCCAAAAUUGGUAUUGCCUAUCCAUGAACCUCUUACCUCAAGUUGGUCUGGACUGUGAGGUCGAAAGAUAAGUACUUGUUGCCAACUCAUUAGUUUAGUGGAAGAUCGAGAGAUUCUACUAGGUUAGCGGCUAAUUGAUUGAGUAGAACCAGAAAUAGGAUUUAGUUAUGACCACAAAAGCGAGCUAAUCACUCAUGCUUAGAUUUUAUUGAAUCACAUAUUAGUUCUCCAUCUUUUUUAUUUUAUGCAAGUUUAUUUCUUUUCUUAUAAAAACAAUUGUUUUUCACUUUAUGAUCAUCGUACUAUAAUUUAUUUAAGUUACUAAUUAGAUCUAUUUUCGUUUAGGUUAAUAUUAAUUUAUUACUUGUCUGCCUUGGGUACGAUCCUCGAGUACUCACCUACUUCGUUGUAAAACUAUAUUACAACCUGACUCGUAUACUUGAGGAUACCGCCUCAAUUCAAUAUAUACUUUUAGCAAUAUUCACACUCUGGAUUCUAGUACCUCCGAAGGCGGUCACUUUCCAAAGUGGCGCGUAGUUUAUCUGCAAAUCAGUGGUGGCUCGUCUACAAUCCGGAGUGAUAUGUUAGACGAGUUCUGGGGAAUUCGUACGUGAGGUGUGUAGCGGAUUUGGGUAGGACUUUUCUGUUAAUUUGAAACUUCAAUGCAUUCAUAAGCACGUGCAUAUAAAAUUGUGAAUACCAAUAUAGUGAAGUGAAGCGUUUUAUGUGAAAAACCGUUAAUCUGAGGUGCCUUGUGGUUGUCUUUAAUCUCAGGAUUGCUAAUUCAUGUGCCUUAUUGGUUUGUUGUUUUAUUCUGAUUUUCUUGUGACUGAACUCACAUUGAGCUUCAUAGCUCACUGCCCUUUAGUUCCCAUCCUUGUAGAUAACCCACCAGGUUGGGAUGCGACAUAUGGAGGGCUCGAAAAAGUUUUAAUGUUAUGAAAGUAUUGUUAUGCUUAUUUUAAAAUUUAUGUUAUUUCGGAACUGUACUGUAUUAUUUAUUUUCUGGCAUUGGAUUCAUAUUUAGGUUUUGGUUUUAUAUUGCAAGCAUGACAUAUAAAUUUUUGUUUUUAAGAUGAUGAAAUAUGGAUUUCAAUUAAAUAUGCAUGAAAUAUAGAUGUUAGUAAAACUCAGGAAAAGCCAUUUUUCCGCUGAAAGGUCAUAAUUAAAUUUUGUCUAAUAACUACAAUAAAACUAAGUUCACAAUAGUUAUCACCUUUUACAAGAAAAAUAUUAGUUUAAUUGUAUUUUAUAUACCCAUGAUUUGUUUUCUACAAAUAGACAGAGUCUUUGUAAAGAUAAAAAAUGUUUUAAUGUGACUAUUUAAAAUGUUCGAUUUCUCUAGGCCAUCAUGGUGGCCGAUGUAAUCUCCCGACCUCGGGCCUACCGUCUAGGCCAAUUUGGGGAGGUUACAAUUUCAAUGCCAUAAAGUACUAAAACCAUAUUUUCAAUCAUCUUCAGCAUAAAUUAUUUCAUAUUGAUAUGAGUUGAAUUAAAAUAUUUAAUUUGAACUUAUAAAUUUGCCAUAUUUAAGGGGAAAAAAAGUUGUUUUACUUCAAACAAAAAGAAGAGAUAAAUUGUUACCAACUAAAUUGAUGAACAAGAAUUUGAUAUGAUAUAUACGUGAAUACAAUAAAAAUACAUUAAUUGCGCUACAAUUGUGUAUAAUAUCCUUUUUAUUUAGUUAUAUUGUGUUUGUACAAAAUUUGUAAAGAUAAAAUACUAUGCAUCAAAUAUGUUCAAUUCUAAUUCUAAUUCUAAUUCUAAUUCUAAUUCCAGUUCCAAUUUGAGUUUGAACUUGAUUUGGAACACAAAAAUUGAGCAUGAUGCCAAGUAUGAGAAUCCAACUCAAGUCUUAUCAAAUAAACAAGCCUAAAUAAAUCUAGUAAAGCUAACUAAAGCAGUUUAAUCUUUAUCUCGUAUCAAGUUUAUAUUUUAAAAGUUAAACUCAAUGAAGUUAUAUUGGAGCAUUCAAUUCUCUAGGUUUCUAUGGAGAUUGAGAUUGAAUUUCUUGGCUCAGUUCAACCCCAUUAAAUAACUUUAAAUUUUUUAUUUUGAUACAAUAGUUAAUAUUGUUUCCAAACUCAUAUAACUGGUUGUGUAGGAAGGGGUCAGGUUAUUUGUGUGCUUUCUCUCACUACUAUCUCCAAAAUUUUAAUGCUUUUAGUAUUUUAAUAUUUGAAAAUUAUUAAAAAAUUUGUCUAGCAAGAAAAAUAUAAUUUAAUCUUUUCUUCUCCUAGACCACAAAAAAAAUUGGAACAUAUUUCCCAUUUGUUUCUAAACGGUUGGACUAAUAAUCAACUUAUUGGCAUCAUGCAUUCCAGAUUUGGUAACAUUAAUUUCCAUGACUACACUUAGAACAAAAUAAUGAUAAUUAGUAAACAAAAUCCCCAUCAAUCUUCUCAAGGAUGUUUUGCUAAUAUACUUUCCUUUUAGACAUAGUUUCAUAAGGAAAAAAAUAAAAACGUAAUAAUCUCAAAGAAUCCAAAGAAAUUAGUAUUCCUCCAUGCAACACAAAAUAAGAUACUAUAUAUAUUAAAUCCAUAAGCUAUAAAUUUCCACCAACAUAGUUAAUUAGAUAUAAAGAGAUGGCAAAGUUUUCAUUCAAUUUGUUUAUAUUUGCUGUCAUCUUAAUCUUUGCAACUCGUUAGUUUCUUCCUAUGCAGCUCUUUUCUUUCCUUUGGUAUAAAUAUUAUGUUUUUGUUUAAUUUAACACAAGGGAAUUUUUGUUGCAGACUCAGAGAUGAUGGCGGAGGCAAGAGGACCUGUUAUUUCGUGUAGAUGCAGCAAAACCGAAGACUGUCAGGGUAUUUGCGCCGUGUGCCCAAACUAUAGCUGCAUUAAAAACAUUUGUACUUGCCUUUCAAACGCACCUCCAUUUCCAUAGUCUUAGAAUCUACACACUCCAACAGUUGAAUGAAAUGGUGGGAUUUUUUUUGUGUAAUUUGAAAUAAAUUAUCAUGCAAUGGAUCUAAUAAGAAAAAAUAUUGUAAUUAGGGUAAUUUUAAUUUUCUUUUUACCCGUCUCUGCCCCUCCCCCCCUUUCCAGUAGCGAAAAGCAUGUUACAUUUAAAAUCUAUAAAAAGAGUUACAAUCUUGUUUUAA